rnacentral:rRNA from 1 species
AUACGGAGGAUCCGAGCGUUAUCCGGAUUUAUUGGGUUUAAAGGGUGCGCAGGCGGCCAUUUAAGUCAGCGGUUAAAUCGUGGGGCUCAACCCCAUUCUGCCGUUGAUACUGGGUGGCUUGACUGCGGUCGAGGUUGGCGGAAUUCGUUGUGUAGCGGGGAAAUGCAUAGAUAUGACGAAGAACACCGAUUGCGUAGGCAGCUGACCAGACCGCAAAUGACGCUCAUGCACGAAAGUGCGGGGAUCGAACAGGAUUAGAUACCCUGGUAGUCCACACAGUAAACGAUGAAUACUUGUUUUCGGCGAUAUAAUGUCGGAGGCAAAGCGAAAGCGAUAAGUAUUCCACCUGGGGAGUACGCCGGCAACGGUGAAACUCAAAUGAAUUGGCGGGG